AAGGUUUCGUUUUGGGUAAACAAGAUUGGAGUGUUACUACAUCAGUUUUGUACUUCAAACAAUUCCAGCAUCAAUGUAGACUUCACAUGUACAAAAUGAAGGUAUGAUCGUGUCUUUAUAAUAUAUAAUAAAUAUGAUUAUAUCUUUGGUUACUGUAGUUGGGUUUGAUAACCAAUACUAGCUCAAUCUAAAAGUACACUAUACAUGUUUCUUGUUUCUUAAGUAUGCAAAUACCAUUAAAUAUGUUCCUACAUAAAACCUCAAGCGCAUGUAAUAAACGUUUCAUUUAUUAAUAACUAAUAUUAGUAUAAAAUACAUUUGUCUCUAGAUGGACUAUUUUUCGUGAAGAUGUAUGCAUUGAAACCUGAGCUGCCAAAGAGAGUUAGCAAGUCCAAAUCUAAGAGGCAAGUAAAUAGACCUGAUAUCAUCAGAUGAGGACAUUGUCUUUAAACAAAAUGCACUUUAUAGAGAGUUCUCUUUUUUAUUUCUUGAUGUGAUUGAAUUAUGUAUAUAUGCAGUCUAUUUGGGUUAUGUAACAUUGAUUCGGUAAGUGCAGUAGAAAAAUUGGACCAUUAUUUGUUUUAUGGCAUUGUACCUGCCUCUCAUCUUCUUUCAAAAGAAUUGUGUGUCACUACUUUGGUGUUUUUAAAGUGUGUUUGAUAGUGAAAAUGUUUAUGUUAGAUCAAAUGUUUCAUGUACAAUUUUCUUAUGCAACUGGAUUUGUUUAAGUAAUGCAUACAAAUCAUCCAUUUGGGCUAGAAAGAAAAUAAAAUCCAUUUCAGCAAACUAACUUGAAAUUACUGUUUAAUAUGUUAAUAGUGGUUUCAAGUUAGUUUGAUGAAAUGGAUCGGCAAGAAAAUGAUGUUCAAUCUAUUUUCAUUUUUUAUUUUGUAUGGUUUAAAAAUACUAAUGAAAUUUUAAUCUCAAUUUCAUGUACUAUCAAAAGCGUUUUCAAUUAUGUUAUUUAAUUUGCAUAUAGUACUUCUCUUAA
rnacentral:lncRNA from 1 species